AAAUGUUAUUGGUCUGUCUGAAGCAGAUAAUCCGGCCUAUGAGUUUCUCGAUAGGACUGAGGGUGCCCCAGAACACACGUACGAUACAGCUUCUCCUACUGCACCAAAAAGUACAGUCAGUUCUGGAAACGCAGAGUAUUUGAAUCUUCAAAUGAAAAAAUCAUGAGAUGCCAGUCUUCAUUCGAGUACGUUUUCUUCACAACACGAAAAAGGAUUCUAAUUUUAUUUAGAUUUGUCGUUUGACUGUUUAAUUCUUACUUGAUAACUAUUCCCUGUGUAACCGGUAUAAAAACAUUUCAAAGAAAGAAUUCAUCUAUACUUCAUAAAAUAUUAAAUGAAUUGUUCAUUCGAAGAGAUAUUGAGCACUUUCGCAAAUGGUCAGUUAAGAAAACUGUUAGUUGUGAUGUCGCUUGUGUCUUUUCACCUUCAGCUAAUGAGUUUUAACACAUCAAUGUUCGAUGUAGAUCGUAAAGCGGCCCUCUUCGCCUUCCAUAAGAUCGAGAUCGGGUAGUAAGCACGAUUUAUAACAUGUUUAUAGGUACAAGGAAUGGAAUCUAUGUAAACUCAUUUUUAUGACAUGUGGUAUUUGGUUAUUUAAUUAAUAUGAUUUCAUUUUACAAAGCGAAAGCAGAAUAUAAUAGCACCAAUUCUACAUUAUUUGCAAUAUGUACGAGCACUAAUCUACUGACGUCACAUAAUAAAAAAGGAAGUAAAGAUAGAACGAAGACGCUUGCCCUUGGCAAUGAAAAGAUCUACAGUCCAUUUUUUGAAAAAAAGUUAUUUCAAAUUGAUAUGUAGUUUACAAUCGAUUCAACCGAUAUAUAACACUAACUUCGUCUCAUUUCUGUGUACGUAUUUUCAUUUAUAAUAAGACUUGUUGUUUUCUUAUUAAUGGUUUUGGUUUCGUUUGAAAAAUUAAUAUAUGUUUGUAAUAAAUAUCACUUUU